UAGGUAGGGUGCGAGCGUUGUCCGGAAUUAUUGGGCGUAAAGGGCUCGUAGGCGGUUUGUCACGUCGGGAGUGAAAACUCGGGGCUUAACCCCGAGCCUGCUUCCGAUACGGGCUGACUAGAGGUAUGCAGGGGAGAACGGAAUUCCUGGUGUAGCGGUGAAAUGCGCAGAUAUCAGGAGGAACACCGGUGGCGAAGGCGGUUCUCUGGGCAUUACCUGACGCUGAGGAGCGAAAGUGUGGGGAGCGAACAGG
rnacentral:rRNA from 1 species